UAUGAAACGAGUGUUAUUCAUCUUUAAUAGGUUUAAAGGGUACUUAAACGGUUUAAUUACCUAAAGCGGUACAAUUAAUCUAAAGUUUUAUAUAAAAAGGUAUACUCUGGAUGUAUGAUAAAAUACUUUGAUACCCGGGGACUGGCAACGGCGAAGGCAACCUUUAUCUUAAAACUGACGUCCAAGGACGAAGGCUUAGAGCACUAGAGGGAUUUGGUACCCCAGUAGUCUUUGCAGAAAAUUAUGAAUGUCAUAGAUUAGUAAUAGUAAUAGAUAUCUAGGUAGUGUAGUGGGUGGAUAUUUAAUCUUACACUCCACUCCACUUUAAGUACAGGUUGAUAACAGUAUAAUAGUAUGGUUGGGCGCAUCUUCUUCGGCGGCCCGUAAGGUUAACUGUAUUAAUUAUGCAUAGUACAUAUGUACUAUGUAUGGUUGCUACCUUGAUAGUUUAGUCUAUUAAUGAAAGUGUAAGCAUUUCACCUCAAGAGUAAUGCGGCAACGUGGGAACUGUAAUCACUGGGC
rnacentral:rRNA from 1 species